CACGUGUGGAUUUAGGUCAGACCUAUUUUUCAGAAGCGCAUGAAGCUUUAGAUGGAGUCCUGGAGCUGGCAGGCGAUGAGCCGUGUCGUCUGGACCACCAGACCAGUGCAGUGGCCAAGUGUAUCAAAGGCAUCGGUUGACUUGAGAACAAGAUCUAGGUCCCCAGAGGGCAUGAAGGGUGCCACAGGUUACCAUCCAUGCUCAUCAGAAACGAGGUGAACACAAGGUUGCCUUGCUUCAUCAUACUGCUGAGAGACGCUUUGGAGAAACUCCAUCCCUAUGUUGCAGCUGACUUGGAUUCUGUCUCUGAGAAGGCCUGACACAGCAAGCAUACAAGAUGUCACAGAACAGCUUCCAUUUUGAAGAUGCACGGUCAGGAAGCAGCAUGAUUUCUGCUACAAAGAGUGGGGCUUUAUCCUGGAAGGAGGAGAACUAUUCAGCAGCCACUGGGAAGAACAGUGAGGUGAAGCAGAGUAGUUUCAUUUCUCCAUAUUUUAUCGCCAUUAUCAAUUAAUAAAAAUGGAAGUGGAGGAGGGGAAGAAAGACUGACCAAGAAGACGCUCUUUCAAUUAAGUUCUGAGGGUGCUAGUAGUACAACUUGUAUAAGUAAAUUGCUGAGCACUAAGAUGCAGUGAGUAAAGACUAGCAUUCAGACAGUAUGAUGGAAGUUAAUAUAACAUUGAUGCUAGUUAUGCUAUUCCCGUGAAGCAUUGCAAAGAUGUUCUGAACACUGCUGAGGUUAACUAAGCCAGUUCCUCACCCCCAGUGAGAAACCAACUUAUGAAAGGUUAAGGCUUUCAACUUAUGUGCAAUGGUCAAGACAUUCUGGUAGGAAGAAUGCUCUGACCUCUGGCUCACAGUUGUGGUUCAGCUAUUGCACAAUACUGUCCAAAACUAUAGUCUGCUACAUUCCUUGUUAUCCUAAUAUGAUGUCUGUUAGUAAAUCAGACAGUCCCUGUCCCAGAUUACCUGACAUAGGCUUUAAUGCUCAUGCGUGAAUUCUGGAGACUUGUGUCCACAGUGAGGUGGAUUGGAUUGUGCGCUUCCCGGCUGUAGUACUCGUGGAUCAGGACAGAAUGUUCUGUGAUGUCGUGACCUGUUGCAUACCUUGAAUAAAGCAAAUGUUGA